rnacentral:rRNA from 1 species
UACGAAGGGGGCUAGCGUUGCUCGGAAUCACUGGGCGUAAAGCGCACGUAGGCGGAUUGCUAAGUCAGGGGUGAAAUCCUGGAGCUCAACUCCAGAACUGCCUUCGAUACUGGCGAUCUCGAGUCCGGGAGAGGUGAGUGGAACUGCGAGUGUAGAGGUGAAAUUCGUAGAUAUUCGCAAGAACACCAGUGGCGAAGGCGGCUCACUGGCCCGGUACUGACGCUGAGGUGCGAAAGCGUGGGGAGCAAACAGG